rnacentral:rRNA from 1 species
AGUGAACGCUGGCGGUAGGCCUAACACAUGCAAGUCGAACGGCAGCACAGUAAGAGCUUGCUCUUACGGGUGGCGAGUGGCGGACGGGUGAGAAAUACAUCGGAAUCUACUUUUUCGUGGGGGAUAACGUAGGGAAACUUACGCUAAUACCGCAUACGACCUACGGGUGAAAGCAGGGGAUCUUCGGACCUUGCGCGAUUGAAUGAGCCGAUGUCGGAUUAGCUAGUUGGCGGGGUAAAGGCCCACCAAGGCGACGCUCCGUAGCUGGUCUGAGAGGAUGAUCAGCCACACUGGAACUGAGACACGGUCCAGACUCCUACGGGAGGCAGCAGUGGGGAAUAUUGGACAAUGGGCGCAAGACUGAUCCAGCCACACCGCGUGGGUGAAGAAGGCCUUCGGGUUGUAAAGCCCUUUUGUUGGGAAAGAAAAGCAGCAGGUUAAUACCCCGCUGUUCUGACGGUACCCAAAGAAUAAGCACCGGCUAACUUCGUG